GUGAGCCGUGGUUGCACCACUGUACUCCAGUCUGGAUGACAGAGCAAGACCCUGUCAACCAAAAGAAAAUAAAAAAAAGAAAAAGAAAGAAAGAAAGAAAAAGAGGAAAGAAAAGAAAUAAAAGAAAAUAUCAAGAAAGAAAAGUCAAAAAUUCAUGUUAAAUACACCUAACCUACCAAACAUCAUAGCUUAGCCUGGCCUACCUUAAACGUGCUCAGAACAAUUACAUUAGCCUACGUUUCAGCUGUCUCAUGGCUGUCAUUAAACUCAGCAAAAGCAAGAUGGCUAAAUCCAUAGCCUCUCAAUUGAUGAAU
rnacentral:lncRNA from 10 species